GCGCCCGUAGCUCAGGGGAUCAGAGCGCUGGCCUGCGGAGCCAGAGGUCGGAGGUUCAAGUCCUCCCGGGCGUACCA
rnacentral:tRNA from 2 species